rnacentral:rRNA from 1 species
CCUACGGGAGGCAGCAGUAGGGAAUCUUUCACAAUGGGCGAAAGCCUGAUGGAGCAACGCCGCGUGCAGGAUGAAGGCCUUCGGGUUGUAAACUGCUUUUAUAAGCGAGAAAUAUGAUGGUAACUUAUUAAUAAGGAUCGGCUAACUACGUGCCAGCAGCCGCGGUCAUACGUAGGAUCCGAGCAUUAUCCGGAGUGACUGGGUGUAAAGAGUUGCGUAGGUGGCAUAAUAAGUAGCGAGUGAAAUCUGGUGGCUCAAACAUUCAGACUAUUAGCUAAACUGUUAAGCGCGAGACCGCUAGGGGUAACUGGAAUUUCUAGUGUAGGAGUGAAAUCCUUAGAUAUUAGAAGGAACACCAAUAGCGUAGGCAGGUUACUGGGACGGUUCUGACACUAAGGCACGAAAGCGUAGGGAGCAAACGGGAUUAGAUACCCUUGUAGUC